rnacentral:tRNA from 1 species
GGUCCCAUAGCUCAGUUGGUCAAAGCGUGACUCUUAUGAGUUGAAGGUCGCGGGUUCAAAUCUCGUCGGGACCA